rnacentral:rRNA from 1 species
AUACGGAGGACGCGAGCGUUAUCCGGAUUCAUUGGGUUUAAAGGGUGCGCAGGCGGCCGUGCAAGUCAGCGGUGAAAGCCCGGGGCUCAACCCCGGAAGUGCCGUUGAUACUGCAUGGCUGGAAUGCGGUCGAGGCGGGCGGAACGGGGCGUGUAGCGGUGAAAUGCGUAGAUAUGCCACAGAACGCCGAUAGCGGAGGCAGCUCGCCAGGCCUGCAUUGACGCUCGGGCACGAAAGCGUGGGGAUCGAACAGGAUUAGAUACCCUGGUAGUCCACGCAGUAAACGAUGAUUACUAGCUGUUUGCGAUACAAUGUAAGCGGCUGAGCGAAAGCGUUAAGUAAUCCACCUGGGGAGUACGUUCGCAAGAAUGAAACUCAAAUGAAUUGACGGGG